rnacentral:rRNA from 1 species
AUUGAACGCUGGCGGCAGGCCUAACACAUGCAAGUCGAGCGAGCGGCGGACGGGUGAGUAAUGUAUGGGGACUGCCCGAUAGAGGGGGAUAACUACUGGAAACGGUGGCUAAUACCGCAUACUAUCGGAUAACCCAUAUGGGAUUAGCUAGUAGGUGGGGUAAAGGCUCACCUAGGCGACGAUCUCUAGCUGGGCUGAGAGGAGGCUCGGGCAAACUGGGAGCUAGACACGGCCCAGAAUCCAAGGGAGGCAGCAGUGGUGAAUAGUUCACAAUGGGCGCAAGCCUGAUGCAGGCAUGCCGCGUGUAUGAAGAAGGCCUUAGGGGUGUAAAGUACUUUCAGCGGGGAGGCGUUACCCGCAGAAGAAGCACCGGCUAACUCCGUGCCAGCCGCCGCGGUAAUAC